rnacentral:rRNA from 1 species
UACGUAGGGUGCAAGCGUUAAUCGGAAUUACUGGGCGUAAAGCGUGCGCAGGCGGUGAUGUAAGACAGUUGUGAAAUCCCUGGGCUCAACCUGGGAACUGCAUCUGUGACUGCAUCGCUGGAGUGCGGCAGAGGGGGAUGGAAUUCCGCGUGUAGCAGUGAAAUGCGUAGAUAUGCGGAGGAACACCGAUGGCGAAGGCAAUCCCCCUGGGCCUGCACUGACGCUCAUGCACGAAAGCGUGGGGAGCAAACAGG